GGGCCCAUAGCUCAGCUGGUUAGAGCACCUGACUCAUAAUCAGGGGGUCGCAGGAUCGUGCCCUGCUGGGCCCACCA
rnacentral:tRNA from 1 species